rnacentral:rRNA from 1 species
AUUGAACGCUGGCGGCAGGCUUAACACAUGCAAGUCGAACGAGUGGCGGACGGGUGAGUAAUGUUUGGGAAACUAGCUUCUGGAGGGGGAUAACUCCGGGAACCGGUAGCUAAUACAGCGUACCAUCGGAUGAGCCCAAGUGGGAUUAGGUAGUUUGUGAGGUAAAGGCUCACCAGGCCGACGAUCUCUAGCGGGUCUGAGAGGAUGACCAGCCACACUGGGACUGAGACACGGCCCAGACUCCUACGGGAGGCAGCAGGGGGGAAUAUUGCGCAAUGGGGGAAAGCUGACGGAGCCAUGCCGCGUGAAUGAAGAAGGCCUUCGGGUUGUAAAGUUCUUUCGGUAGCGAUGCGUUACCUACAGAAGAAGCACCGGCUAACUCCGUGCCAGCAGCCGCGGUAAUAC